UGGCACUUACCUUUAGCAUUC
rnacentral:siRNA from 1 species